UUCGCCCUUAGAGUUUGAUCCUGGCUCAGGAUGAACGCUGGCGGCGUGCCUAACACAUGCAAGUCGAACGGAGUUCUUAAGGAAUGCGACUUCGGUCAAAUGACUUUUGAACUUAGUGGCGGACGGGUGAGUAACGCGUGAGCAACCUGCCUCUCAGAGGGGGAUAACAUUUGGAAACAGAUGCUAAUACCGCAUAAGAUUACAGUACCGCAUGAUACAGUGAUCAAAGGAGCAAUCCGCUGAAAGAUGGGCUCGCGUCCGAUUAGAUAGUUGGUGAGGUAACGGCUCACCAAGUCGACGAUCGGUAGCCGGACUGAGAGGUUGAACGGCCACAUUGGGACUGAGACACGGCCCAGACUCCUACGGGAGGCAGCAGUGGGGAAUAUUGCACAAUGGGCGAAAGCCUGAUGCAGCAACGCCGCGUGAGGGAAGACGGUUUUCGGAUUGUAAACCUCUGUCCUCUGUGAAGAUAGUGACGGUAGCAGAGGAGGAAGCUCCGGCUAACUACGUGCCAGCAGCCGCGGUAAUACGUAGGGAGCAAGCGUUGUCCGGAUUUACUGGGUGUAAAGGGAGCGCAGGCGGGAUAGCAAGUCAGUUGUGAAAACUAUGGGCUCAACCCAUAAACUGCAGUUGAAACUGUUAUUCUUGAGUGGAGUAGAGGCAAGCGGAAUUCCGAGUGUAGCGGUGAAAUGCGUAGAUAUUCGGAGGAACACCAGUGGCGAAGGCGGCUUGCUGGGCUCUAACUGACGCUGAGGCUCGAAAGUGUGGGGAGCAAACAGGAUUAGAUACCCUGGUAGUCCACGCUGUAAACGAUGGAUACUAGGUGUGCGGGGACUGACCCCCCUGCGGGCCGCAGUUAACACAAUAAGUAUCCCACCUGGGGAGUACGAUCGCAAGAUUGAAACUCAAAGGAAUGGACGGGGGCCCGCACAAGCAGUGGAGUAUGUGGUUUAAUUCGAAGCAACGCGAAGAACCUUACCAGGUCUUGACAUCCUACUAACGAGAUAGAGAUAUGUUAGGUGCCCUUCGGGGAAAGUAGAGACAGGUGGUGCAUGGUUGUCGUCAGAUAGUGUCGUGAGAUGUUGGGUUAAGUCCCGCAACGAGCGCAACCCUUGCUAUUAGUUGCUACGCAAGAGCACUCUAAUAGGACUGCCGUUGACAAAACGGAGGAAGGUGGGGACGACGUCAAGUCAUCAUGCCCUUUAUGACUUGGGCUACACACGUACUACAAUGGCGUUAAACAAAGAGAAGCAAGACCGCGAGGUGGAGCAAAACUCAGAAACAACGUCCCAGUUCGGACUGCAGGCUGCAACUCGCCUGCACGAAGUCGGAAUUGCUAGUAAUCGUGGAUCAGCAUGCCACGGUGAAUACGUUCCCGGGCCUUGCACACACCGCUCGUCA
rnacentral:rRNA from 1 species